rnacentral:tRNA from 1 species
GGCGCCAUAGCCAAGUGGUAAGGCCAAGCUCUGCAAAAGCUUUACCCCCAGUUCGAAUCUGGGUGGCGCCUCCA